AAAAGAAUAUUGGACAAUGGGUGAGAGCCUGAUCCAGCCAUCCCGCGUGAAGGAUUAAGGACCUACGGUUUGUAAACUUCUUUUAUAUAGGGAUAAACCUAUCUACGUGUAGAUAGCUGAAGGUACUAUAUGAAUAAGCACCGGCUAACUCCGUGCCAGCAGCCGCGGUAAUACGGAGGGUGCAAGCGUUAUCCGGAUUUAUUGGGUUUAAAGGGUCCGUAGGCGGACUGAUAAGUCAGUGGUGAAAUCUCAUAGCAAAACUAUGAAACUGCCAUUGAUACUGUUAGUCUUGAGUAUAGUUGAGGUAGCUGGAAUAAGUAGUGUAGCGGUGAAAUGCAUAGAUAUUACUUAGAACACCAAUUGCGAAGGCAGGUUACCAAGUUAUAACUGACGCUGAGGGACGAAAGCGUGGGGAGCGAACAG
rnacentral:rRNA from 1 species